GAGGGCAUAGCUCAGUGGUUAGGAUGCAUACUCAGCAUGCAGGAGGCCCUGGGUUCAAUCCCCAGUACCUUCA
rnacentral:tRNA from 1 species